rnacentral:rRNA from 1 species
ACGGGAGGCAGCAGUGGGGAAUAUUGCACAAUGGGGGAAACCCUGAUGCAGCGACGCCGCGUGAGCGAUGAAGUAUUUCGGUAUGUAAAGCUCUAUCAGCAGGGAAGAUAAUGACGGUACCUGACUAAGAAGCUCCGGCUAAAUACGUGCCAGCAGCCGCGGUACUACGUAUGGAGCAAGCGUUAUCCGGAUUUACUGGGUGUAAAGGGAGCGUAGGCGGAAGGCUAAGUCUGAUGUGAAAACCCGGGGCUCAACCGCGGGACUGCAUUGGAAACUGGUCAUCUAGAGUGUCGGAGGGGUAAGUGGAAUUCCUAGUGUAGCGGUGAAAUGCGUAGAUAUUAGGAGGAACACCGGUGGCGAAGGCGGCUUACUGGACGACAACUGACGCUGAGGCUCGAAAGCGUGGGGAGCAAACAGGAUUAGAUACCCUGGUA